rnacentral:lncRNA from 8 species
AUGGAAAACAGUCAAUUUCAUAGCUUUUGAAUAAUUGUUUCAUGUGUCUGUAGUGUAUAAUGCUACAGGAAAGAAUGGUACUUCUAAGGGUAAUGGGAGGGUCCCGCUCCUCUGCACCUAUGUGAUGAUGGAUCCCUUUCAGCUGGUGACCUCAACCAACUGCAGCGCUCGGCGUGGCUACCUCUGCACCCUGGGUACAACACCUUCAAUAACACCAUUUUAACAUGCUUAAAAAAAUUUGUCCUGAUCCUUAUUGUAAGCAGAUAUGCUGCAACAUUUUAUUUCGUUAUUUAACAAUAGUGUAGAGGCCUCAAUGAUAUCCUGAAUAAAAUCUGUGCUGUAUAAUUCUUGCUCUACAGUUUUUAAUAUCUCUACAAAUGCCUCAAAGAGUAUGGUAAGUGGCUUUUAUUAGUGGCCUUUAUCAGUUGUUGUAAUCCUAUGGUGCAGCGUCAGUAAAGUUAUUGUGAGUAUGAAUGGUUCUUGUUGACUUUUGUAGGACAAACAGGGAGCAAGUGGCAAAUCAAGACACUGGAGAAGCCAUCAAAUUAAAGUAAACCGUAAGUUGGUGGAAAGUAUGGUGGCAAAUUUGUUUCACGAUUUCAACCAACCAUUUACUUCCACAAACUAAACGUCUCUCUCUCUUUCUCUCUCUCCUCUCCUUGUUAUCCUACAGGUAUGUCAAGGAGUCUGUCUAGCAUGGAGAAACAAGUGACCAAGAUGGAUGAGCUCCUCAAGGAGGCUCAACUGGAACUAGAAAGAAUGGAAAAGGCUAUAGGAGAGCCUACAGACGCCAACGGGGUAAAGCAUCACAAUGACGAUGGACAUGUAUUAAGUUGGGUGUGGUCAGUGGAGUAGAUGACAGAGUUUAUGGCCACUGGAACUUUCAGUCAAAGUGCUCUCUCUCACCACAGAGAUAUAUUAUUAUCAAAUCAGCAAACAAUGAAUGUAAUUAAAUAAGUGAUACUGCUGUAUCUGGUCAAUUUGGACCUAACCUGUACCCUCCCCCAACAGAAAAAGUACCUUGAGCUUCUAUUACAUGGAACACAGAUGCUGUUUCCAAGUGCUCUGAGAUUAGCCAACACAACAGCUAGCCUCCUCAUCAACUGCGCUGGGGGUGUCAUACUCCUCAAAAUGAAAAGAUGUAGCGAGGACAGUGACACUAAAGUGGUGGGUCAAGCAAUGAUAGCAUAGUUGUACCACAGUAGGUGCAUAUAAAAUGUAAAUGUUGGAUUACAUACUGAAAACCUAAUGUCAAUAAACCUAGUGCUGUACAUACUGUAAACAUAUAGAUCUGUUUUUAGUGUUGUGACAUAUGACAAUAGAGAGGGCAUUUUGCUGAUGAUCUGCUGUCUUCAAACAGGACAAGGAAAUGUUUGAUUUGACCUUUGAGAUUUAUAAGGCGGUACAUUUAGUAAUGACCACAGAACUAAAUGAGGCCUUCAUCGUGAAACACCCAACAGGCAGCAUCUACCAGAUCAGGUGAGUGUUUACAACCUGGGCCUCCACCAUCUCACUCAUUGGUAUAGCCGCCAAUUCUACACUUGUAGAAAAAAGGGUUCGAAAAGGGUUCUUUGCCCAAGGAAAUUGUUUUUUGAAGAAACCUUUUUGAAAGAUAAGAGUUCUUUGUAAGGCAAAGAGUUCUACCUAGAACCGUUUUCAUCCUAAGAACCAUUUUCUGGAAGAAAGGGUUAUUUGAUAAUUGUUUGGAAGGCAAGACAGGUUCUUUGGAAGUCAAG